rnacentral:rRNA from 1 species
CCUUGCCAGCCCGCUCAGAAACUCAAAGGAAUGACGGGGCCCACACAAGCAGCGGAGCAUGUGGUUUAAUUCGAAGCAACGCGAAGAACCUUACCUAGACUUGACAUCUCCUGAAUUACCCGUAACUGGGGAAGCUCUUCGGAGCAGGAAGACAGGUGGUGCAUGGUUGUCGUCAGCUCGUGUCGUGAGAUGUUGGGUUAAGUCCCGCAACGAGCGCAACCCUUUAUCGUUAGUUGCUACCAUUAAGUUGAGCACUCUAGCGAGACUGCCCGGGUUAACCGGGAGGAAGGUGGGGAUGACGUCAAAUCAUCAUGCCCCUUAUGUCUAGGGCUACACACGUGCUACAAUGGUGAGGACAAAGAGACGCAAGACCGCGAGGUGGAGCAAAUCUCACAAACCUCAUCCCAGUUCGGAUUGCAGGCUGAAACUCGCCUGCAUGAAGCCGGAGUUGCUAGUAAUCGCGAAUCAGCAUGUCGCGGUGAAUACGUUCCCGGGCCUU